rnacentral:lncRNA from 1 species
UCUAAAGCUGUGAGAGUAACAGUAGUGUAGAGAAAUGUAAGUGGACAAAAGAACAGUGUCCAAUGUAUUUGAGAUGAACAAUUACAUUUGAAAUGUUGUUGUCUUUGCAGAGGCUCUUGUAGGAGUUCAGAAGAAAGAUCUUAUCUAGAAGUUUGAUAAAAGAUUAAUGGUGUCCUGUAUGCUGCUGAAUUCCCUUUUAAUCUAUGAAGAAGGCAUCUUUCAUUAGAGAGACUGAUGACUAUUACUACAAAUAUCCCACAGAGUGUUCGAUUAUGCUGGAAGGAGGAUGAAAAUGACAUGCCAGAAGCUACGCAAGAGAGAUGAUGCACAUUAUUCUAAUUUUAUGAGUGGAAUUACUUUUUGUUCAUUCAAAAAGGAUGAAAUCUUAUGACUGCUGUUACUGAGGUCUGUGUUAUUUAUUUUAAAUUAAGUGUUCUAAUAUUGUUCACAGAGAAGAAAAUAUACUAUGGAAAAACUAGCUCCAAUG